GAGAGCAUGUCCAAAGCCUCCAUGAUAGGGAAGACAGGAUGUUGGGGGAACCGAAAAAAAAACAACAAAAAAACCCUGCCUUUAAUGGCUGCAUGCCCUGAUGCCUGGCACCCUCUGGCUUGGGAUGGGCACGGUCUACGCGUGAAUCUGCACAGUGACCCUAAGAGGUAGGCAUGGCUUUCCCCCAGGGUUCAGUUGUGGAGCCUCUGCCCCGGAGCCUGAGCACCUCUUCAGGCCCUGCCCUCCUCCUGCCCGACUGCCAGGCUUCAAGCUAGCAGUUGGCCCGGGUGUGUGUCUCCACAAGGAAGUCAGAAUGGAUCACCUGUCAGAACUGGGGAGGCCGGGGCUUGGCUGGCAGGAUGUGGCGAGUGUGUAUUUUCUGUUUAUUCUUGGAGUUUACUUCCCUGCAAACACAUACCUAGCUGCCACGUGCCUCUCGCGGGGAAGCCAACGCCAGCACUCCAUUGCUCAUGAGCAAUCCUGCGAAAACAAGCCCCGAUCCUCAGCACGACCCCCGGUGCCAGCGAGGGAGGCCUGUCCUGGCUGGGCAGCCCAGAGCUUAGGAACAAUCUGGUCUUCAGGAAGGGAGGGAAGAAAAACAAUUUCAAAUUCCAGGCGCCGAGAGCUUCUUACAGAUGGCCAUUGUUGGGAGAAGGGAAAGCUAAAUGCUUUACAGGAGGCUCCGUGGCGCCUCGGGGGAACCGG
rnacentral:lncRNA from 1 species